GGGUGAUUAGCUCAGCUGGGAGAGCACCUCCCUUACAAGGAGGGGGUCGGCGGUUCGAUCCCGUCAUCACCCACCACUU
rnacentral:tRNA from 1 species